UUUCCGGUUGAUCCUGCCGGAGGACAUUGCUAUUGGGAUUCGAUUUAGCCAUGCUAGUCGGACGAGUUUAGACUCGUGGCAGAUAGCUCAGUAACACGUGGCCAAGCUACCCUUCAGUCGGCAAUACCCUCGGGAAACUGAGGUUAACGGCCGAUGCGGGACGCCUGCUGGAAUGCGGCGUUCUCUAAAGGCGACGCUGAAGGAUGCGGCUGCGGCCGAUUAGGUAGACGGUGGGGUAACGGCCCACCGUGCCCAUAAUCGGUACGGGUCGUGAGAGCGAGAGCCCGGAGACGGAAUCUGAGACAAGAUUCCGGGCCCUACGGGGCGCAGCAGGCGCGAAACCUUUACACUGCACGCCAGUGCGAUAAGGGGAUCCCAAGUGCGUAGGCAUAGAGCCUACGCUUUUGUCCACCCUAGGGUGGUGGACGAAUAAGGGCUGGGCAAGACCGGUGCCAGCCGCCGCGGUAAUACCGGCAGCUCGAGUGAUGGCCGAUCUUAUUGGGCCUAAAGCGUCCGUAGCUGGCCUCGCAAGUCCGUCGGGAAAUCCAUCAGCUCAACUGAUGGGCGUCCGGCGGAAACUACAAGGCUUGGGACCGGAAGGCUCGAGGGGUACGUCCGGGGUAGGAGUGAAAUCCCGUAAUCCCGAACGGACCACCGAUGGCGAAAGCACCUCGAGAAGACGGCUUCGACAGUGAGGGACGAAAGCUAGGGUCUCAAACCGGAUUAGAUACCCGGGUAGUCCAAGCUGUAAACGAUGCUCGCUAGGUGUGGCGUAGGCUACGAGCCUGCGCUGUGCCAAAGGGAAGCCACGAAGCGAGCCGCCUGGGAAGUACGUCUGCAAGGAUGAAACUUAAAGGAAUUGGCGGGGGAGCACUACAACCGGAGGAGCCUGCGGUUUAAUUGGAUUCAACGCCGGAA
rnacentral:rRNA from 1 species